AAUGUACCGGGGCUAAAUACACCACCGAAGCUGCGGAUUGAUACCGAAUGGUAUCAGUGGUAGGGGAGCGUUCUAAGGACAGUGAAGUCAGACCGGAAGGACUGGUGGAGUGCUUAGAAGUGAGAAUGCCGGUAUGAGUAGCGAAAGACGGGUGAGAAUCCCGUCCACCGAAUGCCUAAGGUUUCCUGAGGAAGGCUCGUCCGCUCAGGGUUAGUCAGGACCUAAGCCGAGGCCGACAGGCGUAGGCGAUGGACAACAGGUUGAUAUUCCUGUACCACCUCUUUAUCGUUUGAGCAAUGGAGGGACGCAGAAGGAUAGAAGAAGCGUGCGAUUGGUUGUGCACGUCCAAGCAGUUAGGCUGAUAAGUAGGCAAAUCCGCUUAUUGUAAAGGCUGAGCUGUGAUGGGGAAGCUCCUUAUGGAGCGAAGUCUUUGAUUCCCCGCUGCCAAGAAAAGCUUCUAGCGAGAUAAAAGGUGCCUGUACCGCAAACCGACACAGGUAGGCGAGGAGAGAAUCCUAAGGUGUGCGAGAGAACUCUGGUUAAGGAACUCGGCAAAAUGACCCCGUAACUUCGGGAGAAGGGGUGCUUUCUUAACGGAAAGCCGCAGUGAAUAGGCCCAAGCGACUGUUUAGCAAAAACACAGCUCUCUGCGAAGCCGUAAGGCGAAGUAUAGGGGGUGACACCUGCCCGGUGCUGGAAGGUUAAGGAGAGGGGUUAGCGUAAGCGAAGCUCUGAACUGAAGCCCCAGUAAACGGCGGCCGUAACUAUAACGGUCCUAAGGUAGCGAAAUUCCUUGUCGGGUAAGUUCCGACCCGCACGAAAGGUGUAACGAUUUGGGCACUGUCUCAACCAGAGACUCGGUGAAAUUAUAGUACCUGUGAAGAUGCAGGUUACCCGCGACAGGACGGAAAGACCCCGUGG
rnacentral:rRNA from 1 species